AUUUUCUUAGUAUAAUAGUAUAUUUGACUUCCAAUCAAAAGGUCUAGGAUCCCUAGAGAAAAUA
rnacentral:tRNA from 1 species